rnacentral:antisense_RNA from 1 species
CUUGACCGAGCCGAGGCGCAGCGGCUGCCCCGCCGGACGGUCCUCGCCGUAGACGGCGAGCAGGGCUUCCGCCUC